GAAUCGUGAGAACGAGACGAAAAUUAACAGAGGGAUUGUGCCCUGUUUAACGUAAUUUAUGUUAAAGUGAGGUUACGUUGUUUCUCAAAAUGGCUUUUCGCUUUCAGUUUGGAUUUAAUAUGUUUCCGGAGAUUCCACGAUCUUUUAACACUCAGUAUAAAUGUUUCUCUGUGUCGAUGUUACCAGGUGCCUAUCGACAAGAUGUGGAACGUGGAGGAAAAAUAAUUAUGCCACCUUCGGCUUUAGAACAGCUUACAAGAUUGAACAUUAUUUAUCCAAUGCUGUUCAAAUUGACCAAUAAAAAAACUAAUAGAGUAACUCAUUGUGGUGUUUUGGAAUUUGUUGCCGAUGAAGGGAAAGUUUAUUUACCAUACUGGAUGAUGCUUAAUCUGUUAGUAGAAGAAGCGGAAUUGAUAAAUGUUGAAAGUGUUUCUCUACAAAUUGCAACGUUCUCACGUUUUCAACCACAAUCCGAAGAUUUCUUAGAUAUUACAAAUCCUAAAGCUGUUUUAGAAAAUGGUUUAAGAAGUUUCGCCUGUCUUACAACAGGUGAUGUAAUCGCUAUAAAGUAUAACCAAAGAAUAUACGAAAUGUGUGUCUUGGAGACAAAACCAAAUUCAGCAGUUAGUAUCAUAGAAUGUGAUAUGAACGUUGAGUUUGCUCCACCUGUGGGUUAUAUAGAACCGGAGAAACAUACUAAAAAGGAUGAACCUGUAGUAGACCCUGCUGAUUUAAUGCCAGCACCCGUUGGUUUUGUACCAUUUAAAGGACAUGGUAAUAGAUUAGAUGGCAAAAAACGUAAAGAUUUUGGACAGUCAGAUGUUGCCACAAAUAAACCUACAUAUAUUAGAGGAAUACCAGAUUAUGAAUAUAAAAUAGGGACCCUCGUAUUUUUACGUAAUAUGAAACCUAUUAAUAAUAAAGAGGUAAAAGACCAAGAUGAAUUUAAAGCUUUUACAGGAGAAGGUUUCUCCCUUAGGAAAUCAAGAAAAUGAUUAUUUAAUUGUCAGUCUAUUUAUUUUCUUAUAAUUACUUACAUUUGUAAAAGUUAUACGGGUCACAAAAGGAAGAAAACGAUGUCUGUUACAUAUUGAAAGCGGGGGAUCGAAUCGAGCAGUGGGCUGUGGGACCAGUGGGGCCGAACCUCAAAUAUUGCUCAAUUACGUGUUGAACUUGUGUACACAUGUACAUAUAUAGAUACAUAUACAUACUACGUUUUCAUCAUACAUUCUAUUUCCCGAACACGUGGAAACCUAAAAACUGCUUUGUUCUAUGCGUUUGAUUUUUUCUACGCAAUCAUGUCAUUUUAUGAAAAAGAAAAAUCUCAUCGAAUAAAAAUAGUGACUACCCUUCGUUAGUUUAAUAUUAAA